GACAGAGGGUGCAAACGUUGUUCGGAAUUACUGGGCGUAAAGCGAGUGUAGGCGGUCCGAUAAGUCGGGUGUGAAAGCCCUGGGCUCAACCCAGGAAGUGCACUCGAAACUGCCGGGCUAGAGUAUCGGAGAGGUUGGUGGAAUUCUCGGUGUAGAGGUGAAAUUCGUAGAUAUCGAGAGGAACACCGGUGGCGAAGGCGGCCACCUGGACGGUAACUGACGCUGAGACGCGAAAGCGUGGGGAGCAAACAGG
rnacentral:rRNA from 1 species